AUUGAACGCUGGCGGAAUGCUUUACACAUGCAAGUCGAACGGCAGCACGGACUUCGGUCUGGUGGCGAGUGGCGAACGGGUGAGUAACAUAUCGGAACGUAUCCAAUAAUGGGGGAUAACGAGUCGAAAGAUUCGCUAAUACCGCAUACGCCCUACGGGGGAAAGCUGGGGACCUUCGGGCCUGGCGUUAAUGGAGCGGCCGAUAUCUGAUUAGCUAGUUGGUGAGGUAAAGGCUCACCAAGGCGACGAUCAGUAGCUGGUCUGAGAGGACGACCAGCCACCAUGGAACUGAGCCACGGUCCAGACUCCUACGGGAGGCAGCAGUGGGGAAUUUUGGACAAUGGGCGCAAGCCUGAUCCAGCCAUUCCGCGUGAGUGAAGAAGGCCUUCGGGUUGUAAAGCUCUUUCGCAAGGGAAGAAAACUUAGCCACUAACAUUGGUUGAGGUUGACGGUACCUUGAUAAGAAGCACCGGCUAACUACGUGCCAGCCGCCGCAGUAA
rnacentral:rRNA from 1 species